CAGGAUGAACGCUAGCGGCAGGCCUAACACAUGCAAGUCGAGGGGUAACAGGGAGUAGCAAUACUCUGCUGACGACCGGCGCACGGGUGCGUAACGCGUAUGCAACCUACCUUCAACAGGGGGAUAACCCAGAGAAAUCCGGACUAAUACCCCGUAUAGUAGCGGGACCGCAUGAUCUUGCUACGAAAGCUUCGGUGGUUGGAGAUGGGCAUGCGUGACAUUAGCUAGUUGGCGGGGCAACGGCCCACCAAGGCUGCGAUGUCUAGGGGAGCUGAGAGGCUAACCCCCCACACUGGUACUGAGACACGGACCAGACUCCUACGGGAGGCGGCAGUGAGGAAUAUUGGUCAAUGGACGGAAGUCUGAACCAGCCAUGCCGCGUGAAAGGAAGAAGGCCCUAUGGGUUGUAAACUUCUUUUGUGCGAGAGUAAUAAGGGCUUUGCGAAGUCCGAUGAGAGUAUCGUACGAAUAAGCAUCGGCUAACUCCGUGCCAGCAGCCGC
rnacentral:rRNA from 1 species